rnacentral:misc_RNA from 1 species
GAAAUGCGAUAAGUAAUGUGAAUUGCAGAAUUCAGUGAAUCGUCGAAUCUUUGAACGCACAUUGCGCCCGCCAGCACUCUGGCGGGCAUGCCUGUUCGAGCGUCAUUUCAACCCUCAGAACCCCUUGCGGGAUCUGGCGUUGGGGAUUGGCAUCCAGCCAGCCCCGAAAUCUAGUGGCGGUCCCUCCGCGACCUCCCCUGUGCAGUAGCGAUACCUCGCAGCGGGACAGCGGUCUGACCACGCCGUAAAACCCCCAACUUCUCAAGGUUGACCUCGAAUCAGGUAGGAAUACCCGCUGAACUUAAGC